AUUGAACGCUGGCGGCAGGCCUAACACAUGCAAGUCGAGCGAGCGGCGGACGGGUGAGUAAUGUAUGGGGACUGCCCGAUAGAGGGGGAUAACUACUGGAAACGGUAGCUAAUACCGCAUACUAUCGGAUAACCCAUAUGGGAGUGGCUAGUAGGUGAGGUAAUGGCUCACCUAGGCGACGAUCCCUAGCUGGUCUGAGAGGAUGAUCAGCCUCCCUUGGACUGAGCCACGGCCCAGACUCCUACGGAGGCAGGAGUGGAGAAUAUUGCACAAUGGGAGCAAGCCUGAUACAGCCAUGCCGCGUGUAUGAAGAAGGCCCUAGGGUUGUAAGGUACUUUCAGUCGGGAGGCGUUACCAACAGAAGAAGCACCGGCUAACUCCGUGCCAGCAGCCGCGGUAAUAC
rnacentral:rRNA from 1 species